UACGUAGGGUGCAAGCGUUGUCCGGAAUUAUUGGGCGUAAAGAGCUCGUAGGCGGUCUGUCGCGUCGGCUGUGAAAACUCGGGGCUCAACCCCGAGCCUGCAGUCGAUACGGGCAGACUAGAGUGCGGUAGGGGAGACUGGAAUUCCUGGUGUAGCGGUGAAAUGCGCAGAUAUCUGGAGGAACACCGGUGGCGAAGGCGGCAUCCUGGACCAAUUCUGACGCUGAGGAGCGAAAGCCAGGGGAGCAAACGGG
rnacentral:rRNA from 1 species